rnacentral:snoRNA from 1 species
AUACCAUGAUGAGGGCAAUUCAUUUGAAGCUCCUUAAAUCCAUCCCAUGCAAAUGAAAAACUUUCAUCUUCUUCUUGCUCAAAACCAUAUGUCU